GCCGGGCUGUCGAGGCUGGGAGCUUAUCCGGGUGCGGGGGCAGGCCGGCAGCCUCGCCACGCGGGCGCACCCUCUCCCCCAGGAGGUAGGAGGUACCGCUCAUCCCUCCGAGAGACCCCUUGAGUCAGACUUGAUCAGGGGAAAGGCCAGGAGACAGGCGGUUCCAGGCUGCCCAGAGCCCCCGCUUGGUCUUCCCGCCGGCGCCCUCCGGAACGAGGGCAGCAGCUGACGGGAGGCCAGCAAAUCCAGCGCUUCUGCCUGCGCCCAUGUCGCCGACUCCACAGCCCUGGGGUCCUCCAGCUGCCACUCAGCUAGCCGGAAGGCCUUUCUUCCUUUUUCUUUUUUCCCCCUCAGGAAUUCCCCCUCAAAUCAUGUCCAACAGGCAUCAGUUCCUUUCGGAAUAAACCGUGGCCAAAUCAUUUGCCAAAAAUUAUCAGUUCCAAAAAAUGAACUCACUUCGGCUGCUAGUGUCAUGGUGUUCACGUGGCAUUUGCAUCUGUGACCUCCUGAAGCUUGGGAUGACACGUGUCACAACUCAUCGGAGCGAGUGGGUGUGUUGAGGUGCCAAACGAGUUCUGUUUGCGGGUUGUGGGCUAUUAGCCUAAAUUAAAGAGCCCAGCAGCUGUGUGGUCACUGGGUCCCAUACUGCCCUCCACUUGGAAGAGAAGACAGAGGCCAUGUUGUUUGUCAUGAGUCAACUGAGAGUCGGAGCAAGACACUAAUAGAUCUUAGGAGAAAAAGGAAACUGAGGCUCAGAAAGGUUAAGUGACCAAGGUCAUAGAGGAACUCAUCACACUAUCCAGAUUUGGUUGCACACCAUUCUCCUUUCCUCCACACAAGCUCUUCCUACCGGAAAAGGUUACAGUGAAUUCAGGGACAAGGUUCGUUUGCCACCUUUGUAGCCACAGCUCCGAACCUAGUUACUGGCACAGAGUAUCCCAGACAAUUAGGCAUUACUUGCGUCCUGUUGUUUGUAAAGUUUUCUUUUGUGGGCCAUAGAGAGACGCGCUAAUUACCAGCCCGCCACCGAGACCUGGAAAGAAAUCGGGAAUAAUUUAGGACUCUCCUAGCCUCCCAGCUCCAUGGUUGGCUUGUAACCACUCUAUAUUCUGGAGGACUCAGCGAGCACGGCCAAUCAUUAGGCCACUUUCCAGGCACGUGGCCGGAAGUUUGACUUGCUAUUGGUUAAUAACAGUAAGGCCCGCCCAAGCACCCUGCCUGCUUCUUUAAGUAGAAGCCGUGGGAGCUUCUCCGUCUUUCGGCGGCUGUAAGCUUGCGAGGUCCGGCCGGCCGAGGACGUCGGAUCCACUGCCCUCCCAGCGCUUCGACCCUUCCCUGAAGGCUCUCAAUAAAACAGAUUGUUCCUACCA